rnacentral:lncRNA from 1 species
CUUCGUAGUUUCCGAUCAUUGUUUUGGUGACAUUAGCGUUCGGUCCAAUCACGGCUAGUGAUUUGAUCGUUGUAUGAGAGAGAGGUAAGCAUCCGGUGUUUUUCAGCAGGCCAAAAGCGGUAAGGAACCAGUGUUUUUCAGCAGGACAAUGCCUUGUCUCGCUGCUUCUGCGGCUAGCUCUUGGUUCGCCGGCGUGCAAACGUCUUUAGGACCUAGCCCGCCGUAGAUUUGUUUCUUUGGAUCUCCGUCGAAGAAUCCUAACCGCAUAAGGGUCAAAAAGUUGUUUGAAAUAG